rnacentral:rRNA from 1 species
CGCUCGCACCCCGUGUGCUUUCCCCUUUCGGGGGGUUGGUGGGGUCGUGGGAGUGGCGGACGGGUGAGUAACACGUGAGUAACCUGCCCUGGGCGUGGGGAUAACCCUGGGAAACUGGGGCUAAUACCGGAUGGCUCGCAUCUCUCGCAUGGGGGGUGUGGGAAAGGUUCUCUCCUGUGAGGGGGGGUUCCGGCCUGGGAGGGGCUCGCGGCCCAUCAGCUUGUUGGUGCGGUGAGGGCGUACCAAGGCGAUGACGGGUAGCCGGCCUGAGAGGGUGAUCGGCCACACUGGGACUGAGACACGGCCCAGACUCCUACGGGAGGCAGCAGUGGGGAAUUUUGCGCAAUGGGCGGAAGCCUGACGCAGCGACGCCGUGUGGGGGAGGACGGCCUUCGGGUUGUAAACCCCUUUCGGCUCUGACGAAUGUGACGGUAGGGGCUAAAGAAGCGCCGGCUAACUACGUGCCAGCAGCCGCGGUAAUACGUAGGGCGCGAGCGUUGUCCGGAUUUACUGGGCGUAAAGGGCUCGUAGGCGGUUUGUCGCGUCGGUCGUGGAAAUGUGCGGCUUAACCGGGCACGUGCGGCCGAUACGGGCAGACUCGAGGGCGGUAGGGGCAAGCGGAAUUCCUGGUGUAGCGGUGAAAUGCGCAGAUAUCACGAGGAACACCGAUGGCGAAAGCAGCUUGCUGGGCCGUUCCUGACGCUGAGGAGCGAAAGCAUGGGGAGCGAACAGGAUUAGAU